ACAUGGUGUUAGUGAUGACUAGACUUUUUUCCCCAUCAGAUCGACUAUGUUGACUAUCUUUUGAUUUCAAAGCCAAAUAAAUCUGACACACCUGU